AGUGAACGCUGGCGGUAGGCCUAACACAUGCCAGUCGAACGGCAGCACAGUAAGAGCUUGCUCUUACGGGUGGCGAGUGGCGGACGGGUGAGGAAUACAUCGGAAUCUACUUUUUCGUGGGGGAUAACGUAGGGAAACUUACGCUAAUACCGCAUACGACCUACGGGUGAAAGCAGGGGAUCUUCGGACCUUGCGCGAUUGAACGAGCCGAUGUCGGAUUAGCUAGUUGGCGGGGUAAAGGCCCACCAAGGCGACGAUCCGUAGCUGGUCUGAGAGGAUGAUCAGCCACACUGGAACUGAGACACGGUCCAGACUCCUACGGGAGGCAGCAGUGGGGAAUAUUGGACAAUGGGCGCAAGCCUGAUCCAGCCAUACCGCGUGGGUGAAGAAGGCCUUCGGGUUGUAAAGCCCUUUUGUUGGGAAAGAAAAGCAGCAGGUUAAUACCCCGCUGUUCUGACGGUACCCAAAGAAUAAGCACCGGCUAACUUCGUG
rnacentral:rRNA from 1 species